rnacentral:snoRNA from 1 species
UGAGCAAUGACUAUUCUGGUUUUCUAAACCUCAGGGUGGUUCAGUGAACAGGACCGGAAAGUUCUUGGAAAGCCCAUGCGUGAUCAGGACUUGCAACACCCUGAUUGCUCCUAAUCUGAU